UUUCUUUUUCUUCUCUUAUUGCUAGAACUUCAAAUGCACUAUUAAAUAAUAUUGGUGAUAACAGGCAUCCUUAUUUCACUCCUGAUCUCCUAGGGAAGGUUUCUAAUUUAUACCCAUUAUAAAUAAUGUUUGCUGCAAGUAAUGUGCUGUAAGAAAUGAAGAGCAGGUUAAUUUUGGAAAAAACAAGCAAAGACGCAAAUGAGAUUCUGAAGAGUGAAAUGAGCAGAACUGAGAGAAUAUUAUAUCCGACAAAAAUAUUGUUUGAAGAAUAAUUUGUGUAUGCCUAUCUCCAGAGAAAGAGUUGAUAAACAGAAGAAUAGGAAUUGUUCAAUUUAAUAAGGAAAAAGUGGAAAGAGCACUCAUUGGUUUGGGAGUCUAAGAAUUUGAAUUCAAAUACCACUUCUACUGAUUAUUACCGGUGUGUUGGUUGUCUCUCGAACCAAGGAUGACGAUUGUCUUUGUGCAUUUUUUGUGCACAAAAACACUUGUGCAUGAAGAUUUAAGUGGAAAAGUCGAUGCACAGAGACAGUCCCACUCUCUCAGCGUUGGAAGCCUGGGUCCAGUGGCACGAAAGAUCGUUACACCUGGAGACUUCCUCAGCUGCAUUGGAUGGCCGUGUUGUCUUUUGUGCUCCAACACGCCCUAAGCACUCCACAGUGCCUUGCUGCAUCACCAUCUUAGCCGUUGAACCUUCUUGUUGGUUUCUUCCGCCUGUUCUGCCGAAGCAGUCUUCACAUGCUGGGUGAGCAAAGCCCUAGUUCACCAGGGGUCAACGUCGACCCGAUGGCUACCCUCACAAGGUUUAGCCUGCCGAAGCCGUUGCCCGGAGUGUGGCCGCUGCCACAUGCUAGCAGCUACUAGGAGCCACAAGUGAGAGCUUGUGUUUUAUUUGUGUAUAAUAUGUAUAUUACCUGUGUAACACUAGGCAAAUUACAUUUUGGGUCUGUUUUCUCACUUCUUCAUUUCUCAGCAUUUUUCCAAAUGAAUUAUACCAAGGGCCCUGGAAACGUAUAUCCUGUGAGCUUUGGUCCUUACACUUCAUCAGUACCCUCAGUACCCUCUGUUCCUCUGAUUGGUGGAAGGUUAAACAAAGGACUCCUCUAAGAGCCUCUAUAUAAAGGGGGCUCCUGGGUCAACAUCUCUUCAUUUCCUACAAGCUUGUACUUCUUUGGACUGGAAUCCAUCAUUUCCACCCUCCUGAAUAUCUUUCUUCCUGUCAUUCCCAUUUCCUUUCAGCUUCCUUCUGUAUAUUGUUUUCUGCCAUUAGAUUUUAAGUUCCUUGAGGGCAAGGACUUCAUUCUUUUUUUAUAUUUGUAUCCCUGGUGCUUAGCAUAAUGCCUGACAUAUAGUAUGUGCUUAAAAAAUGUUUAUUGACUGACUAGUGACCUGUGAAUUGGAUUAGAUGGCCUUUGUGGACUAGAUCUAGAUGGGAUGAACUAAUAAUACAUUCAAGAAGUGCUUAUUCUGUCUGAGGCAACAGGUUAGACCAUGACUCACUAUUCUAUAGUAGGGAAUAUCACCUGAAUUGUAUUAUGUUAACCAAAUUCAGCAUAUGUAAUUGACUUAGCAUAACUCAAACAAGUUGUGUCAAUAAACAAAUAUUUAUUGAAUAUC